CGCGACAUUCCCCCAGCCCCAAACGAACAAACAGAAGGAGAAGAAAACCAGAGAGAGCUACUAGGAGCUUUGAGGAUCAUGGGACAGGGAAUUUUGUUUUAUCCUCGCGCAUCUUGAAGUGAUUUGUCCUCGAGCGCAUCUACAAACAGGCUCACGUCCGCGAGCUCACCAAGGCACGAGCCAGAAUGUGAACAAGUUCAAUGCAGAUGACUUAGGCUCCUUCACUCAUUUACUGUUUUUCAAGGUAGAAUAUUACAGCAGGUCCAUAAGAUAUUGUGUGAAGUGGAAAGGAUCCAUGUGUCCCCAACGCUCCAACAGACAGCCUAGGGCCUCCAAGAAGAACACCAAGACAAGCCCCGCUCCAGAGGAAGAAGUCAUCCAGCGUCAGCUGAGAGGGCGGAGGGGGAAAGGCAGUACUGGUGACAGCCUCUGUAUCGCAGAAAAGCGAGGCCUUCCCAGAACCUGUGCUUGGCCUGUCAGAAGCUCUACCAGAAAGCAAAGAAGAUAAAAACACCAAUCAUAAACAAACUGCUGGACAAUGAUCCUAUGUCCCCGACAUGUGACCAGUGGGUCCUUAUCAAAAAGCGGACAUCCCAAAGGUGGCCUGAUGCAAGAGGGAAGCUUUUGAGCCACAUAAAGAAGAUAAAGAAGGCCUGUGAGAAACAAAGUGAGCAGCGUGUGGAAGAAUCUGCCGUCUGUUCAAGGCCGCACACUUUCCUCCACAGGAACCUCAGACGAUGUGUGAAAGCGAAAAAGGAGAGGAAGAAGAAUAAGAACAGGAGGAAGAGACAGAGAGACGGUUCGCAGGGUACUCGUGCCGCUAAGCAGCAGCGUCUCCACACCAACACUCCCAUCAAGAUGACCUGUGUAGAGCCAAACAGCCGCCGAAAAAGCAGCAGUCAGGGGAACAGAGGUGUGACUGCUGAGGCGAUUCCCUCGUCUGUGACACAGGAAGCCACCACACCAAGCAAGAGAACACCAAAGCAGACGGGUAGAUUCAGAAACUUGCUGGCUGAGCUACGGAGCAAGAGCAGCAUGAUUGUAAGAGAAACACACUAGUGAGGAGGCAGGAUUCGAGUGCUAAUCGCUUUUAGUCGUGAUGUUCUGCUGGUCUUCAGUAUUGUUACCUAUUCGGUGGCCUAUGCCUAGAGUUACUUGACAAAGUGCCGUCGCAGUUCUGUGCAUGUUUUGUUUGUGAUCCUUUAAAAUUAAAAAUAAUAUUUAUUUAAUGUUCCUUACAACUGGACAGCUGUGAAUAAAUGUUUAUGUUGAUCUCA
ensembl:lncRNA